GCUUAUACUCGACCGUCAGCGGCAUGUGCGAUCGCUUCGUGCGGUCAUGAAGCCCUGACGAGUAGGAGGGUCGCGGCGGUGAGCGCAGAAGGGCUGGCCGUGAGGCCGUCUGGAGCCGCCGUCGGUGCAGAUCUUGGUGGUAGUAGCAAAUACUCCAGCGAGGCCCUGGAGGACUGACGUGGAGAAGGGUUUCGUGUGAACAGCCGUUGCACACGAGUCAGUCGAUCCUAAGCCCUAGGCGAAAGCCGAUGUCGAUGUGGUGUAGAUUUAUUUAACGAAAUAUAUAUUUGUUUCGAAUACAUCUAUAACGUACACACCCAUUGGGCGAAAGGGAAUCCGGUUCCUAUUCCGGAACCUGGCAGCGGAACCGUCAAAAAGUCGGGC
rnacentral:rRNA from 1 species